rnacentral:lncRNA from 1 species
CACCAGGUUACAAACUUAACCAGAAGGGCUGACAAGAGGUGAGGUUAGUAUAGCUAGGAUUCUCUCAGUUGAAACUAGGUUUACUUUGUCCUAUCAUUCCUGAAUUUAUGCAAAUCCAAACUGAGAAAACACUUUCAAGUAAUCAGCUUUUAGAAGAUAGAAUUUUUAAUCUCUACAGAUCAGAGGAAGCUAGAGGAUUUUACUACAUAAUGAAUUGCAUUUAAGAUUGAUGGAGAGUUUUAUGGGUGGCAACAUAUACAUCUGGACCGCAGGAGUCUGGCUUCCUAAGUAAUAGAGACAGGAAGAGAACAUUUCACG